rnacentral:tRNA from 1 species
GCCUGGGUGGCUCAGUUGGUUAAGCAUCUGACUUCAGCUCAGGGCAUGAUCUCAGAGCUCGUGAGUUCGAGCCCCACAUCAGGCU